UACAGGCACAUGAAUUAUGAAAUGACUUUGU
rnacentral:piRNA from 1 species